UGGCAAGAUUAUGGCGAAGCUGA
rnacentral:miRNA from 2 species